GGGGGGUCGGCACGCCAAACUGUUGCUGCGCCGGCCGCAGACGGGGCCCAUGCCGCACGCUGCGCAGCUGCCUGGCGCCUGGGAAGACUGUCCGAUUCUUGGGGAGGAGGGGCCUCAAGUGCGUCAGUGACACUAGUUCAAGGCCCCCUGAGUGAAGACGCACGGGCUCACACGUUUGCGUCACCUCUUUAGCUCGCCCAGCCGGCCCUGGCAGCAGCCGGCCGCUGAGCUGAACGGGACCCCCCAGCGCCGUCUUCUCGGUGCCGCGGCGCCGGGCCCCAACGCCCCAUGCUCAUGAACAUUCGCCAGGUGCGCCGGCGUCGGUUCACGCGCUCGGAGAACACGUACGAGUCUGGGGCGUCGUCGUCGGUGCCGUUCAGCUGGAACUCGCUCAUCCGCGAGUCGCUGCUGCAGACGUCCUGGCCCAUCUCGCUGAGCGCCGACAGCGAUGACGACGAGUUCGAUUUCUUCAAUCC